AUUGAACGCUGGCGGCAUGCCUUACACAUGCAAGUCGAACGGCAGCACGGGAGCAAUCCUGGUGGCGAGUGGCGAACGGGUGAGUAAUAUAUCGGAACGUGCCCAGUCGUGGGGGAUAACGUAGCGAAAGCUACGCUAAUACCGCAUACGAUCUAUGGAUGAAAGCGGGGGAUCGCAAGACCUCGCGCGAGAGGAGCGGCCGAUGGCGGAUUAGCUAGUUGGUGGGGUAAAGGCCCACCAAGGCGACGAUCCGUAGCGGGUCUGAGAGGACGGCCCGCCACACUGGGACUGAGACACGGCCCAAACUCCUACGGGAGGCAGCAGUAAGGAAUAUUGGACAAUGGACGGAAGUCUGAUCCAGCCAUGCCGCGUGAAGGAAGAAGGCGCUCAGCGUUGUAAACUUCUUUUGGAUGGGAAUAAUAAUGUCGACGUGCUCGGCACUUGAAGGUACCAUCAGAAUAAGCACCGGCUAACUCCGUGCCAGCA
rnacentral:rRNA from 1 species